UGAUAAUUAGUUUAAUCCAAAACAAAUGAUUUCGACUCAUUAGAUCAUGACUUAUAUCAUGAUUAUCAA
rnacentral:tRNA from 1 species